AGCAGCCGCGGUAAUUCCAGCUCCAAUAGCGUAUAUUAAAGUUGUUGCAGUUAAAAAGCUCGUAGUUGAAUUUCGGGGUUAGUAGGUUGGUCAUACCUCUGGUAUGUACUGGUCUCACUGAUUCCUCCUUCCUGAUGAACCUUAAUGCCAUUAAUUUGGUGUUUUGGGGAAUUUGGACUGUUACUUUGAAAAAAUUAGAGUGUUUAAAGUAAGCUAACGCUUGAAUACAUUAGCAUGGAAUAAUGAAAUAGGACGUUCGAUCCUAUUUUGUUGGUUUCUAGGAUUGACGUAAUGAUUAAUAGGGAUAGUUGGGGGCAUUAGUAUUCAAUUGUCAGAGGUGAAAUUCUUGGAUUUAUUGAAGACUAACUACUGCGAAAGCAUUUGCCAAGGAUGUUUUCAUUAAUCAAGAACGAAAGUUAGGGGAUCGAAGACGAUCAGAUACCGUCGUAGUCUUAACCAUAAACUAUGCCGACUAGGGAUCGGAUGAUGUUAAUUUUUUAAUGACUC
rnacentral:rRNA from 1 species